GACGAACGCUGGCGGCGUGCUUAACACAUGCAAGUCGAGCGGUAAGGCCCUUUCGGGGGUACACGAGCGGCGAACGGGUGAGUAACACGUGGGUGACCUGCCCUCAGCUCUGGGAUAAGCCUGGGAAACCGGGUCUAAUACUGGAUAUGACUCCAUGACGCAUGUUGUGGGGUGGAAAGCCUUGUGCGGCUGAGGAUGGGCCCGNGGCCUAUCAGCUUGUUGGUGGGGUGANGGCCUACCAAGGCGACGACGGGUAGCCGGCCUGAGAGGCGACCGGCCACACUGGGACUGAGACACGGCCCAGACU
rnacentral:rRNA from 1 species